rnacentral:rRNA from 1 species
UAGCUAAUACCGCAUAACGUCGCAAGACCAAAGAGGGGGACCUUCGGGCCUCUUGCCAUCAGAUGUGCCCAGAUGGGAUUAGCUAGUAGGUGGGGUAACGGCUCACCUAGGCGACGAUCCCUAGCUGGUCUGAGAGGAUGACCAGCCACACUGGAACUGAGACACGGUCCAGACUCCUACGGGAGGCAGCAGUGGGGAAUAUUGCACAAUGGGCGCAAGCCUGAUGCAGCCAUGCCGCGUGUAUGAAGAAGGCCUUCGGGUUGUAAAGUACUUUCAGCGGGGAGGAAGGCGAUGAGGUUAAUAACCUCGUCGAUUGACGUUACCCGCAGAAGAAGCACCGGCUAACUCCGUGCCAGCAGCCGCGGUAAUACGGAGGGUGCAAGCGUUAAUCGGAAUUACUGGGCGUAAAGCGCACGCAGGCGGUCUGUCAAGUCGGAUGUGAAAUCCCCGGGCUCAACCUGGGAACUGCAUUCGAAACUGGCAGGCUAGAGUCUUGUAGAGGGGGGUAGAAUUCCAGGUGUAGCGGUGAAAUGCGUAGAGAUCUGGAG